GCUAUUUGGGUUCAAGCAAUAUUUUCAUUUCCUGACCCAACUUCCCUGCACAUAAAAAAUGAAACCCAACAAUCCAGCGGCAUCAGGCACCAGCACAGAGUGAGCAAAAGAGGCAGGCAGCGAGGAGCAAAAGCAGGACCCUGCGGCGCCAGGAGGCCGCAGCAAGUCAGGGGAAGUGGCUCGGUGACAAUUGUGAGCGCCCAGAAAGUUGUCCUGGCCGCAGCCCUUUGCUCCCUCCCGAAGCUGCGGUGGCCGAGGCUGCCUCCUGCUCGGCAGCAUCUCCCUUUGCUAAUGGGAUCUCCAGCCUGUGCUGUUCCCCUUUUUCUCCCCUCUUCUCCCUCUUUCUUCCCUAUUUUUUUUUUUUAACUUGGCUACGGAACAUUAGGUUUGACGAAGGGAAAGCGAUUUAACAUCUUUUAACUGAGGGAGGUUGAUUUUCAUUUGCGACCAAAUGGCUCCUUUUUACCUUUUUAGCUCCUGGAAGAGUAAAAAGUGAGAGGUCAGCCCUGCGUCACCAUGGCAACCCAGGCAGCUCAGGCCUGGAGCAGAUGAAGGGAGGUGAUAAUGGCAGGGAAGUUUCUCCCCCUUCCUUGGCAUUUUCUCCUCAUUCAGGGAAUGUUCCUGGAUGCAUGAAAACAAUUAUGUCUUUUUAGAAAUAUAAGUUUUAAAAUAUGGCUGUUAAUUACGGCCCAGGGCUCCGACCAUUCACAGAUCUUUCGGGGGUUUUGUUUGCAGUUGUGACCAUCUUUAUCCUCAUCAGUGACCACAGGGGCUUGAAUCACACCCGCGAGAUCGUGCAUGCCCCCACCCUGGCCAAAUCUGUCCUUCAAUCCAAGAGCCUACCUGCUGGCGUCCUGAAAGCCUGAAAUAUUAAUGAAGAGACAAUCAACCUCAGCACAUGAGACCUUAUUGGAGCCUCUCUGCAAAGAAAGUCUUGAUGCCAUUCCAGUUCAGGGACCUCAAAGAAUAAAGAGGAAAAGAGAACUUGAAAUGACAGACUUGCUAGAAAGCCAGAUUCAACCCUGCAGGAGUUGCCUGGGCCAGGGAAGGAAGGAAUGUCCACGAUCUCUGAGCUCAUGGACUCACACGUCCACUUCAUUCAGCCCAAUGUGGUCCUUGGUGCAUGGAGGCCAUGGUGACUAUGGCUUCACACCUGAGGGUGCCAGCAUGGGAUUAUUCUACUUGCUGGUGAAAAUUCUCAAGUCUGUGAAUCAACUGCAACGUGGUUUGACACACGCUGAGCUCUGUCUGCUCUGUUUCACCAGUUGGUGGUUUCUAAAUGGUUGGAACACAUCAUAGCCCGGCACAUAGUCCAAAUUAACUAUAUGGUAAGAAUAUUGAAUGAUGAAAAUAUAUAUGCAUAUAUAUGUAUAUGUUAUUACUAACCUAAUAUUAUUUAAAUGAUAAUUUUAAAAUACUAGAUAUUAUAUCCUAUUAUUAUCUAUAAUAUCCUAUUAAUACCUAUAAUCAUAACUAUAAUGUAGUGAGAAUCUGCUUGCUAAAUAUGCAGAUUUCCAGGCCCUAUUUGGGUCCUAAUGAUUUUGCUGAUGUCGGAUGUUGUCCCAGAAAUCUGCCUUUUAAGCCAGCACCCUACCUGCUGCUCUGGCUUAGUGAAGUGUGAGGACCACUGCUUUCGUUAGAUGCUUCUCCAUGCCUUUGAUGCAUGGAUAAUUUCCUCCCAUAUUUAGGAAUUCCGUGGAGAACAUGAUGCUUUUGACCAUUCAGGGGUUUCUGCCCUCCGAGGGAACAGCCAGCAGGAAAUUGCAACAUUUUGCAUGAUCUAUUACCUCUACAGCCCUGGGAUGAAAGGUGCACUUUAUGGAACGGGGUGGGUGAGUGUGGGAAACAGCUCCUCUUCAUGCGAUCUGAACCGUCAGGACAUGUCAAACGAAGUUAAUAUAAAUGUCAGCAUGCAGCUUUCGGUUGUGAAAUCUGAGUUCGUUGUAAUGCAGUUCAUUUUCCUUCUUCCAGCUCCGUGGAUGCUAUCAGCUGAUGCGUCUGACAAGCGUUUCCUAUGCCCAAAUAAGAGCCAUCUCAGCAGUUCUCCUGAGUGAGCCUCCCUGCAUGUGUGUGCACGUGGAACUCGUGUCACAUUCUCCUUAAGGCUGCAGUGAGCUCGUCUCUGUGGGCCUCCCAAAACACCAGGCUGGAAGCCCUGGAGCUGUCUCCAGGAGCCAUCACGCCAGUUCGUAAUGACCACUAGAGUAUGGCAUUAUAUAGACAUCCAGUGGAGGAAUUAAUUAUGGGGAACAUGAAGUCCUUCUAGGAACAGACUGAAGAUUUAACACCUCCCAGGUGAAUACUGUGCGGUGGGAGUGAGGAAGCAGCUCCGUUGGCUCAAUGCGGCAGGGAGCCUGCUCUACAUAACAAUGGCCCGGGAGGUGCACCUGAUUAAACCAGCUCAGCUCCAGGGUUGCCCCUGUCAGC
ensembl:lincRNA